rnacentral:rRNA from 1 species
AGCUGUGCUGCUUCGCUGACGAGUGGCGGACGGGUGAGUAAUGUCUGGGAAACUGCCUGAUGGAGGGGGAUAACUACUGGAAACGGUAGCUAAUACCGCAUAACGUCGCAAGACCAAAGAGGGGGACCUUCGGGCCUCUUGCCAUCGGAUGUGCCCAGAUGGGAUUAGCUAGUAGGUGGGGUAACGGCUCACCUAGGCGACGAUCCCUAGCUGGUCUGAGAGGAUGACCAACCACACUGGAACUGAGACACGGUCCAGACUCCUACGGGAGGCAGCAGUGGGGAAUAUUGCACAAUGGGCGCAAGCCUGAUGCAGCCAUGCCGCGUGUAUGAAGAAGGCCUUCGGGUUGUAAAGUACUUUCAGCGGGGAGGAAGGGAGUAAAGUUAAUACCUUUGCUCAUUGACGUUACCCGCACAAGAAGCACCGGCUAACUCCGUGCCAGCAGCCGCGGUAAUACGGAGGGUGCAAGCGUUAAUCGGAAUUACUGGGCGUAAAGCGCACGCAGGCGGUUUGUUAAGUCAGAUGUGAAAUCCCCGGGCUCAACCUGGGAACUGCAUCUGAUACUGGCAAGCUUGAGUCUCGUAGAGGGGGGUAGAAUUCCAUGGGUA